rnacentral:tmRNA from 1 species
GGGGCUGAAUGGAUUUGACAGCAAUUGAAAUUUUAUGAUAAGCAUGUCGAGCAUUGUAUUUUAGCUCGUAAAAAUAAAAGUACAAUUUUUAAUUGGCGAAAAUAAUUACGCUUUAGCUGCCUAGUUUAUAUAAUUAGUUAAGCUUUUGUCUCUUUAANGGUCUUCCUGAAACCUUUAUCUGAGGCAUUAUAAAUUCAGGAUAGAUUUAUUUAUUUCUUGGNUAAAUAAACGACUANUUACAAGAUAAGAAGGGGUNUUGGAAGCAUCUCUCCUAUCCUCUUUCGAAAAUAAUAUGAUGAUAAACAUGUAGAAAGUUAUAGAAUCUUUUGUUUGGACGUGGGUUCGAAACCCACCAGCUCCACUA